rnacentral:lncRNA from 1 species
UCUUGAUGUGACAAAUGAUUGUUUGCAUCAAUUGUCAAAUCUCGGUAUAAAUGUAAAAACAUGGGAUGUGAUUGUAAUUUAUAUUAUAAGUUUGAAGCUGGACGUAGAAUCUAGGAAGCAGUGGGAGCUGCAAGUCAACCAAUCAUCAUCCGUGGAUUUUCCGUCUUGGUUACAAUUUCAAGAGUUUUUGGAGACUCGUUUCCGGGCUCUUGAAUUUAUUCAGCCUACUGGGUAUUGGUCCGGGACGAGUCCUGCUAGCCACAGCUCUUAUAAGAGCCGGUUCAAAAGAUGGGUCCACUCAAGUACUACGAGCCUUGCUGGAUCAAGGAUCGCAGGCGUCAUUUAUAACUGAAGCAGCAGCGCAGUUACUUCGUCUAAAGAGGAUUGGUAGCAAAACCAAGAUAGCAGGUAUAGGAGGUAAUCAGAGCGGCGUUAGCGUUGUCUCCAAUUACACUGACGCUUGGAGAAAAUCAGCGCCGAGUCAGCCAGAAAUCGUAAUAACGCUGUUUAUCUUCCUCAUCAUACUGUGGUUAGAGAAGAUAAGCUGGCUACUAAAGCAAGGGUGGCCUAUGAUACAUCGUUCAAGGGAACAAAUGUAGUUUCAUUGAAUGACACCUUAAUGGUAGG